AUUGAACGCUGGCGGAAUGCUUUACACAUGCAAGUCGAACGGCAGCACGGGUGCUUGCACCUGGUGGUGAGUGGCGAACGGGUGAGUAAUGCACCGGAACGUAUCCAAUAAUGGGGGAUAACGCACCGAAAGGUGUGCUAAUACCGCAUACGCCCUGAGGGGGAAAGCGGGGAUCGUAAGACCUCGCGUUAAUGGAGCGGCCGAUGCCGGAUUAGCUAGUUGGUGAGGUAAAGGCUCACCAAGGCGACGAUCCGUAGCUGGUCUGAGAGGACGACCAGCCACACUGGAACUGAGACACGGUCCAGACUCCUACGGGAGGCAGCAGUGGGGAAUUUUGGACAAUGGGCGCAAGCCUGAUCCAGCCAUUCCGCGUGAGUGAAGAAGGCC
rnacentral:rRNA from 1 species